UAUAAAUAAUUUAUCACUUGUGGAUAGUAAAUUGGACGAUAAUUUAAUAUUAACUUAUAGGGACGAUGACCAUUUACAGAAGAUUUAUUCGGAUGGUAGCAACGUUGUUUUCGCGUUUUUUACUUUGAAAAAUGAACUUGUGGAUUGUGAUAUACGUACUCUCAAUGGAUCUGUUUCAGCCCAUCUGUUCAAAGAGGCAUUAAAUAAUAAGGAAGUGGAAGCUGAAAUGAAAAUGAUUGAUAUUAGUCGACUAAUUAGACAGUGUAAACGAUUUAUAAGAAAAAUGUUGAGACGAAAACUGGAUGAUCCAGAUUCACUGAUACGGGAUGUGAAGAAGCGCAUACGAUUUCACGUAGGUCAUGAAGG